GUUGAUGUAGCUUAAAUCUACAAAGCAAGGCACUGAAAAUGCCUAGAUGAGUAGCCAUACUCCAUAAACA
rnacentral:tRNA from 1 species